rnacentral:rRNA from 1 species
CGACUGCUAAGACUGGAUAGGAAAUUAGAAGGCAUCUUUUAUUUUUAAAAGACCUUUUUCGAAAGGUAUACUUAAAGAGGGGCUUGCGGCACAUUAGUUAGUUGGUAGGGUAAAAGCCUACCAAGACCAUGAUGUGUAGCUGGACUGAGAGGUUGAACAGCCACAUUGGGACUGAGACACGGCCCAAACUCCUACGGGAGGCAGCAGUAGGGAAUUUUCGGCAAUGGAGGAAACUCUGACCGAGCAACGCCGCGUGAACGAUGAAGUAUUUCGGUAUGUAAAGUUCUUUUAUUGGAGAAGAAAAAAUAGUGGAAAAACUAUCUUGACGAUAUUCAAUGAAUAAGCCCCGGCAAACUAUGUGCCAGCAGCCGCGGUAAUACAUAGGGGGCGAGCGUUAUCCGGAAUUAUUGGGCGUAAAGGGUGCGUAGGCGGUAUGGUAAGUCUAUAGUUUAAUUUCAGUGCUUAACGCUGUUCUGCUAUAGAAACUAUCAGACUAGAGUAAGAUAGAGGCAAGUGGAAUUCCAUGUGUAGCGGUAAAAUGCGUAAAUAUAUGGAGGAACACCAGUGGCGUAGGCGGCUUGCUGGGUCUUUACUGACGCUGAGGCACGAAAGCGUGGGGAGCAAACAGGAUUAGAUACCCUGGUAGUCCACGCCGUAAAGAUGAGUACUAAGUGUCGGGGAAACUCGGUACUGAAGUUAACACAUUAAGUACUCCGCCUGAGUAGUACGUACGCAAGUAUGAAACUUAAAGGAAUUGACGGGACUCCGCACAAGCGGUGGAUCAUGUUGUUUAAUUCGAAGAUACACGAAAAACCUUACCAGGUCUUGAUAUACUCUGCAAAGCAAUAGCAAUAUAGUGGAGAUUAUCAGGGAUACAGGUGGUGCAUGGUUGUCGUCAGCUCGUGUCGUGAGAUGUUAGGUUAAGUCCUAAAACGAGCGCAACCCUUGUCACUAGUUGCCAGCAUGUUAUGAUGGGCACUUUAGUGAGACUGCCAAUGAGAAAUUGGAGGAAGGCGAGGAUCACGUCAAAUCAUCAUGCCCCUUAUGAUCUGGGCUACAAACGUGAUACAAUGGCUGUUACAAAGAGUAGCUAAAACGCGAGUUUAUAGCCAAUCUCAUAAAAGCAGUCUCAGUUCGGAUUGAAGUCUGCAACUCGACUUCAUGAAGUUGGAAUCGCUAGUAAUCGCGAAUCAGCAUGUCGCGGUGAAUACGUUCGCGGGGUUUGUACACACCGCCCGUCA